CCUAACCCUAACCACCCUGAACAUGCCCGAUCUUGUCUGAUCUCAGAAGCUAAGCAGGGUAGGGCCGGGACAGUACUUGGAUGGGAGACUGCCUGGGAAUACCUGGUGCUGUAAGCU
rnacentral:rRNA from 1 species